UGGGGAAUCUUGGACAAUGGGGGCAACCCUGAUCCAGCCAUGCCGCGUGAGUGAUGAAGGCCUUAGGGUCGUAAAGCUCUUUCGCCUGUGAAGAUAAUGACGGUAGCAGGUAAAGAAACCCCGGCUAACUCCGUGCCAGCAGCCGCGGUAAUACGGAGGGGGUUAGCGUUGUUCGGAAUUACUGGGCGUAAAGCGCACGUAGGCGGACCAGAAAGUUGGGGGUGAAAUCCCGGGGGCUCAACCCCGGAACUGCCUCCAAAACUAUUGGUCUAGAGUUCGAGAGAGGUGAGUGGAAUUCCCAGUGUAGAGGUGAAAUUCGUAGAUAUUGGGAAGAACACCAGUGGCGAAGGCGGCUAUCUGGACCGAUACUGACGCUGAGGCGCGAAAGCGUGGGGAGCAAACAGGAUUAGAUAGCCCUGGUAGUCCACGCCGUAAAACGAUGUCUGCUAGUCGUUGGGGGCGUAGCCCUUC
rnacentral:rRNA from 1 species